ensembl:lncRNA
GCGGGCGCCGGCGUCCCCCCGGCUUCGUUAAGGGUCAGGCGGCAGAUCGAUUUUAAAAGCCUCCUGAUAGGCGAAAACGCUCUCGCCGCCGCGCUGCGGGAGCCCGUUGGGAAAAGGCGCGCUGAGCUUUCACGGCUUCAGGAGAGGAGCGGCGGGAGGAAAACCCCGGCCGGCGUCGGUGCCGUGCUCCCGUGCAGCGUAGCGGCCGUGCCGCCGCGUCCCUGGAUAAGAGGAAUAUUGCACACAAGGUUUUUCAGCUUCAGUGGAUAGAUAAUUCCUUAUAUUUCCAUUUUUUUUCCCCUUGCAAUCAUCGAUUAACUCUCACAACGUCCCUCUAACUAGAGAAGAGUCACUUUACCAGCGCGACGUCCCCUCCGCUACAGCGAAGUGUAUUCGGUAUUUACCAUGACGACGGUGCAGUGUGGCACGUGGCUGUCUAAAAAAAAUAUCCAGCAGAAAUAAACAGGGGAAAACCAGAAAAGCGGAAUAUAUAACCCAACGAGGGGGGGUUCAGCUCCCACGGCGGAGGGCACACGAUCCGGAGCUGCGAAAGCUGCUGCGAUUGAGGCCUUUAUAUUUGUGCAAACCCGGAUUCCUGGACGCUGCGGGAUAAAACCGCCCCGGGGCUCGGGCAACCGUUUCUCUGUGGCUCUUUUCUUUGCCCACCUCCCCGAGGCCGGUUUUUCCUGCCCCAGGGUCUCCACUCUCCAUCCCGAAGCGAAGCUGCAUGACGGGAAAGAAACGGGCUCAUUUCCGCCUCGAGUCAAGCCUGCAAACGCUCGAAAUAUUUGUUUGUACAUGUGGACACUCGCAGAGCUGAAAUGAAUCGUCUCGGAGAGCUGAAGUUCAAUCCCCGAAGUCGCAGCGCCGCGCGCCAAGACAUGGAUUCGUCGCUCCGGGGCUGCCGGCCGGAGCGGCUCGGCCGCUCGCCUCGCUGUCAGACUGCGCUAGCGUUUUUAAAGGCACACAUCGUACCCUCUGCUGCCGUGAGCGGAGGAUAAAGAGUCCAGUGUUCCCCCUCCUGCUGCGGGGAAGUCGUCCCUCUUCUGAUGUCAGACCGCAGUGGAAACGGGGAAAAAUGCUAAACCGGGAUUCGGCAGGAGAAUUCCUCGGCGGAAGGGGCCCGCGGCCGCAGCCCUGGGUGCUGCCGCCGGCUCCGCGCGCCUGGCACCCGGAUUCCCGCAGGCAUGAGUCGCUCUCCAAGCGGGAAAUUUCUCUUUAUUGCAACUGCUUGAAGACUAUUGCAUAUUAAACCAGCGCGUUACUUGCAGCUCAGACCCUGCCAGCAUUUUAUAUAAAACCACUGCAUAAAGAUAGAGCAAGGGUGGCUACAUGCUCUGCGUAACUUCUGAAUUUCCUCGCCUGUGGUGGUGGAAUUUGGCCCUGGAUCAGGCAAAACCAGUAUGGAGUGCAGAAGCCCCAAUGCCAGUUUGCUGUCAUAUCACAAAUGUAAAAAAAGGAAAUAUUUUUUACAGCCUGAGGAAAAAAAAGACCCCUGAAGGCUUGUAAAUAAGAUAGAAAUGUCACUGAGUAUUGGCCGUAUGACUUCGUCUGCUGUGGCAGAUAGUGGGUUAAGACACGUACACACAUCCAGGGAGAAAACUCCCCGAUGGCUUCAUUUUCCAGCGGUAAC